rfam:Pseudozyma hubeiensis SY62 DNA, scaffold: PHS57.
GGCCCUUUAGCUCAGCGGUAGAGCGUCGGCUUCCAGUACAAAUCCUCCCCCGUGGACGCGCAGCUGGUAUCUUCCGAAGGUCAUCCGUUCAAAUCGGGUAGGGGUCA